CUACGGAGGGUCCAAGCGUUAUCCGGAAUCAUUGGGUUUAAAGGGUGCGCAGGCGGUUUAUUAAGUCAGUGGUGAAAUCUCGAGGCUCAACCUCGAAACUGCCAUUGAUACUGAUAAACUUGAGUUCAGUUGGAGUAGGCGGAAUGUGUAGUGUAGCGGUGAAAUGCUUAGAUAUUACACAGAACACCGAUAGCGAAGGCAGCUUACUAAACUGAUACUGACGCUGAGGCACGAAAGCGUGGGGAGCGAACAGGAUUAGAUACCCCAGUAGUCC
rnacentral:rRNA from 1 species